UACGUAGGCAGCAAGCGUUGUUCGGAAUUACUGGGCGUAAAGAGUGUGUAGGCGGUGCUCUAAGUUCGGUGUGAAAUCUCCCGGCUCAACUGGGAGGGUGCGCCGAAAACUGGAGUGCUGGAGCGCGGGAGAGGAAAGCGGAAUUCCUGGUGUAGCGGUGAAAUGCGUAGAUAUCAGGAGGAACACCGGUGGCGAAGGCGGGUCUCUGGGCAACAACUGACGCUGAGGAGCGAAAGCGUGGGGAGCGAACAGG
rnacentral:rRNA from 1 species